rnacentral:lncRNA from 1 species
UCUCUUUUCCGCAUCUGAGGUUGUCGAGUCGGCACCUGAGUGCUGGAUGACAGAAAAAACCUCUGUAGACAGCAAGACCGGUGCUUUUGUAUUCAUUUCUUCAUCCUAUGUUUGCUCCUCUUCAGCAGCUGACAAUUGGCCAAAGGCCAAGAAGCUCAUAUCUUCAUCCUAUGUUUGCUCCUCUUCAGCAGCUGACAAUUGGCCAAAGGCCAAGAAGCUCAUAUGUCUGGACCCAUCCAUCAUCAUCGAUCGAACAGCCUACCAUGAUGCAUCAAUGUACUACAUGAAAAUGACUCCGCCUAGUAUACGACAGAUUAACAGAUUCUGAUAGAUUAACAUGAGAAGCACUAAUGUCAAAGUUACAAAGACCAAGUGAUAGACUUG